rnacentral:rRNA from 1 species
GAUGAACGCUAGCGGCAGGCCUAACACAUGCAAGUCGAGGGGUAGUUACUUUCGGGUAAUGAGACCGGCGCACGGGUGCGUAACGCGUAUGCAAUCUACCUUUUACAGGGGAAUAGCCCAGAGAAAUUUGGAUUAAUGCCCCAUAGUAUGUAUGAAUCGCAUGGUUUAUACAUUAAAGUUCCAACGGUAAAGAUGAGCAUGCGUCCCAUUAGUUAGUUGGUAAGGUAACGGCUUACCAAGACGAUGAUGGGUAGGGGUCCUGAGAGGGAGAUCCCCCACACUGGUACUGAGACACGGACCAGACUCCUACGGGAGGCAGCAGUGAGGAAUAUUGGACAAUGGGCGCAAGCCUGAUCCAGCCAUGCCGCGUGCAGGAAGAAGCAUCUAUGGUGUGUAAACUGCUUUUGUACAGGAAGAAACACUCCCUCGUGAGGGAGCUUGACGGUACUGUAAGAAUAAGGAUCGGCUAACUCCGUGCCAGCAG